AAUACUUACCUGGACGGGGUCGACUGGGGAUCAAGAAGUCCUGUGGCCUAGGUCAGUGGCCCGCAUUGCACAUGGCGGGUGCGCUGGCUUACCAUCUCCCCAAGUGGGAGAGUGGACGUCAUAAUUUGUGGCAGAGGGGGUACGCGUUCGCGCGGCCCCUGCUUU
rnacentral:snRNA from 1 species